rnacentral:sRNA from 1 species
CGACUCCUACUUGGCUAUGGCUAUAUAAAGGGGAGAGAAAGCCGGAGACACUUGAAGGAACAGCUUGCAAAGUUUUCUUUGACUGCACUGAGGAUACAAGUACAAACAUUCCUAAUCCACAAUGUCCAUAAAAUUGUCUUACUUCGACUUGAGAGGAAGGGCUGAAACAAGUAGACUUGUCCUGCACGCAGCUAAGAAACCUUUUGUAGACAACAGAAUCCCGUUCUCUGAAUGGAGUAAAGUGAAGCCAAGUAAGAUAACUCUGCAUUUACAACAUUCUAUUUUAUAAUCUCCCUUAGACUUUCUUAUAGUCUUAAUUUGGUUUAACACACAGUGAAAUUAAACAUGUAAAUAUAUAUCUGUUUCUCAUCUAUAAGGCAUUAGGGAUAAUCGCAUUGACAAUAAAAAAAACUGUAUUAAAGUUAGAAAAAAAAGGCUUUGGUUUGCAUGAGUUAUGGGCAGUUCUAUUCUACAUGUGUUAUAUGUUUAUCCUAUCCCCUUUACGUGAGGUUUUCCAUUGUUUCUAAAGAUUGAAGCAAAGUUUAUUGUUAAGAGGUUAUUGUUAGGUGUUAGUUGGUAUUGA